GGGCACAGCGGCGCAAGGGAGUAGGUAAUAAGUAGAAAUCUACCCUCGGGACGGGGAUAGCGGCGGGAAACUGCCAGUAAUACCCGAUAACGUCUUUGGACCAAAGGUGUGAUUCCGCCUGAGGAUGAGUCUACUUCCUAUUAGCUAGUUGGCGGGGUAAUGGCCCACCAAGGCAACGAUGGGUAGCAGGUGUGAGAGCAUGACCUGCCUCAUUGGGACUGAGACACUGCCCAGACACCUACGGGUGGCUGCAGUCGAGAAUCUUCGGCAAUGGACGAAAGUCUGACCGAGCGACGCCGCGUGCGGGAUGAAGGCCUUCGGGUUGUAAACCGCUGUCGUAGGGGAACAAAUUUACGGGGGUUCUCCCUCGUAAUUGAGUGAUCCUAGGAGGAAGGAGAGGCUAAGCUCGUGCCAGCAGCCGCGGUAAGACGAGCUCUCCAAACGUUAUUCGGUAUCACUGGGCUUAAAGAGUUCGUAGGCGGUCUGGUAGGUGAGGUGUGAAAUCCCC
rnacentral:rRNA from 1 species